ACUAUUUUUAGAACCCUAGGAAAUCUUUAUUUUUUAUGAGACAGAACAAGAGAAUAGCAUUUUUUUUAAAAAUAAAAAAUCGAAGGACAUUCAAGUAUUAGCUCCAAUCCUGUUCUUUUUAGUCAUAGUUCUCCUAUACUAAGACAGCUUUAGUUCACAAAGUUUUCAGUUUUGGGGUAAAAUGAUUCACAAGAUUCUUUCCCCCUCAGAACUAGAUUAAAAAUAAAGUUCUUCUUAGCAUUUUAGAGGACCUUCCUAUUAGGCUCUUCCUUGGUGGAGCUCAUCAUUCAUUUAUUCCACUAAACAGUGAAAACAAGCAUUUCUCUCAUCCCAGCUCAUCUCUUCAGCCCCCCUCCUUUUCUGUGGAGCUGGGCUAUAUUCUUGUUUCAGCACAAGAGUCCAAAAAAAAAAAAAAAAAAAAAAAAAAAGCUCUUUCCCUCCUCCUAAAAAUCAAGCAAAAAGUCCAGGCAUUUGAAAUAUUUCCAUCCUUGAAGUGGACCAGCUUCUCUCCACACUUGUAGUACUUGGCAAACAGAAACAGUGGCAGCCCCAGCAGCAGAGGCAUCCCGAACGCCCAAUCCUGUCCAGUUUACACCACGGAGCCGAGGAAAAUCCACCGAGUUUGCGAUCCAAAAGAUUCAAGGUCUUAUCACCGGCUACUUCUGGUAAAGAGGAUGGAAUACCAGAUCCCCACAGUGGAGCUGUUGAAAACUCUCUGGAGUUUUCCCAAUGUUCCUUAAAUCUCACAAAAGGUUUUACUUGAAGGAAGAAAAAUCUUUGACCUACUGGCUUGAGCUAUUUAGGACUUGGGAAUCCAAGAAUCCAUGCUGAAUCUUACACUAUGACCGGUAGGGAAAUUCUGAUAAGCAAGGAUCUUAGACCAGUGGAUUUGAAUAUGUUAGGAGGAAUUCUACAUGGGAAUCCUUUCUCUCCUCAAAGACUGAGGUGACAUAGGUAGAGAUUAUGCUUUGAAGAUAUAUAGAAAGAGCCCCAUUUGUUUUUUUUUUACUAUAUUUUUAAAAUAAAUAAUUCUUUGUAAAAGCUAACAUAAUCUUAAUUUGUUAAAUGGAACUAGGAAUUAAUCUCUGGCCCUCUAAAAUGAGAACACAAUCAGUUGGGGCUGGACCUGAUAGCAGAAAAAUUUGCCUAACCUCUUCUGAGUAACAGAGACACUGGGAGCAAGGAACAAUAAAAUGGAACAGACCUGGCCCUUGGACUGUUUGGCCCAGAGACAAAUCCCAAGUUGCAGAAGAAAGAAUACUAAACAGAGUAAGUAAAUGUAAAGAGCUUGGCAAAAGCAGUCAAGUGAGAAUGGGGAGAAAGUAGGGAAAUCAUUAUAAUGUAAUAGCAUCAAAAUAGGACAGGCAGUAAUCAUAAGAUGAAUGUCCUGACUGAAAGGAAGGAGAUAAUUACUUUAAGGGGAGAAAAACACAACCCUAAUAAUAAUUACUUUAAAUGUGAAUUGAUUAAACAAUUUGAUCCAAUGAAAGUAACAAGACAGAUAAUAAAGUAAAAACCAAAAAUUUCAUACAUACAAGAAAUAUAUCUAAAAUACAGAAACAUGAAGAAUAAAAAUGAGAGACUGGAAUAAAGUUUACAACAUAUCAAUUUUUUUUUUUGAGUAGGAGUUACACUCAUGCUACCAGAAAAAGCAAAAAUAAAAAUUCUCAAUAUUAAGAGAAACAAAUAGAAAAGCCAUGUUAUACUUAAGAAAUUAUCAUCAGUUAGCAAACAUUAAAACUAAAUAUAUACAUAUAUAUGCACUAAAGAGCAUAGAAUUUUGAUUUAUUAAAAAAUAGUUAACUGAAUUACCAAAAAAGACAUAGAAAAUAACAUAAUUGUUGCAAGAGGCUUUAAUGUUCCACUUACAGAGCUAGAUAGAUUUAACAGAAAGGUAAAUAUGGAAUUCAAUGAAUUCCUGGAAAAUGUAGGGCUGAAAGACUUAAGUUUUUAAUGAGAAUAUUAAACAAUAUAGGUUAUAUAUGUAUAUUAUAUGUGUGUAUAUUUUUUCUUAGUACCAUGAAGCACUUUUACAAAAAUAGACUGUAUAUUUUAACAUAGUAAUUGAACAAAUUAAUGCAAAAAGGGGAAAUGCCAAAAACAUACUUUGUAGACCAAAAUGCAAUAGAAAUAGUAGUUAAUGAAGGAGACAUAAGCAAAAAGAUUAUAGAAAUAAAUGAAGCUUAAUAAUGAAAUCCAGAGUAAUGAUUUUAUCAAAGAACAAACCACAGAAACAAUGAAUGGUUAUUUGAAAGCAAGUGCUAAUAAUGAAAUGAACCUGAAAUUCCUUGGGUGCUAUUAAUGUGAUCCUGAAAGGAAAAAUUAUACAUAUAUAUAAGAAAAGAGGAUUAGUUAGUUGAAUAUGCAAUUUUAAUAAUUUGAAAAUCAACCCCAAAAAGGCACAAAAGAAGAAAAUUUGAAAAUUAGAUGAAUAAAAAGAAGGAAAACAAAAAGUCUACAGUAAUGAAUUAAAUUUAAAAGCUAAUUCUUUGGAAAAAAUUAACUAAAUUGACAAUCUUUUACCCAAUAUGAAAAAGGAGAAAAGAAUCAUAUUAGCAAAAUAACUAACAUGUUAAAGUCAUAAAAGAAAGAAAUACAAUUAUUAACCAAUAGCUACUAUACACAAUUCUAUGCCAAUAAGGUUGAGAAUUUAAAAGAAAUGAAGAAUUAUGUACAAAAUCCAAAAAGUAAUUAAAUUAAUUAAUUUAACAUGAAAUAGAUAGUAAUCCAAUGUCAGGAAAUGAAAUUGAAUAAUCUAAAAAUGGAAA